rnacentral:rRNA from 1 species
CCUACGGGUGGUAGCAGUGAGGAAUAUUGGACAAUGGGCGUAAGCCUGAACCAGCGAAGUCGCGUGAGGGAUGAAGGUUCUAUGGAUCGUAAACCUCUUUUAUAAGGGAAUAAAGUGCGGGAUGUGUCCCGAUUUGGAUGUACCUUAUGAAUAAGGAUCGGCUAAAGCCGUGCCAGCAGCCGCGGUAAUACGGAGGAUCCGAGCGUUAUCCGGAUUUAUUGGGUUUAAAGGGUGCGUAGGGGGCCUUUUAAGUCAGCGGUGAAAGUCUGUGGCUCAACCAUAGAAUUGCCGUUGAAACUGGGGGGCUUGAGUAUGUUUGAGGCAGGCGGAAUGCGUAGUGUAGCGGUGAAAUGCUUAGAUAUCACGCAGAACCCCGAUUGCGAAGGCAGCCUGCCAGGCCAUGACUGACGCUGAUGCACGAAAGCGUGGGGAUCAAACAGGAUUAGAUACCCGUGUAGUC